CAACAAUAGCUACUUAGCAUUAUGAUUUCGGCUCAUAAAGAGAAUUACUAUUCAUUGUUGU
rnacentral:tRNA from 1 species